GGGGUUGUCAUAAAAACGC
rnacentral:miRNA from 1 species